GGACAUUGUUCCAGCUAGAGAGUUGGACUAGUAACCAGCAGGUAGACUAGUGGUUAGAGCGUUGGACUAGUAACCAGCAGGUAGACCUGUAGGAGCUGUGGAGGAGACAGACCAGAGGACAUUGUUCCAGCUAGAGAGUUGGGCUAGUAACCAGCAGGUAGACCUGUAGGAGCUGUGGAGGAGACAGACCAGAGGACAUUGUUCCAGCUAGAGAGUUGGGCUAGUAACCAGCAGGUAGACCUGUCGGAGCUGUGGAGGAGACAGACCAGAGGACAUUGUUCCAGCUAGAGAGUUGGACUAGUAACCAGCAGGUAGACCUGUCGGAGCUGUGGAGGAGACAGACCAGAGGACAUUGUUCCAGCUAGAGAGUUGGGCUAGUAACCAGCAGGUAGACCUGUCGGAGCUGUGGAGGAGACAGACCAGAGGACAUUGUUCCAGCUAGAGAGUUGGGCUAGUAACCAGCAGGUAGACCUGUCGGAGCUGUGGAGGAGACAGACCAGAGGACAUUGUUCCAGCUAGAGAGUUGGGCUAGUAACCAGCAGGUAGACCUGUCGGAGCUGUGGAGGAGACAGACCAGAGGACAUUGUUCCAGCUAGAGAGUUGGGCUAGUAACCAGCAGGUAGUCUAGUGGUUAGAGCGUUGGACUAGUAACCAGCAGGUAGUCUAGUGGUUAGAGUGUUGGGCCAGUAACCAGCAGGUAGACCUGUAGGAGCUGUGGAGGAGACAGACCAGAGGACAUUGUUCCAGCUAGAGAGUUGGGCUAGUAACCAGCAGGUAGACCUGUAGGAGCUGUGGAGGAGACAGACCAGAGGACAUUGUUCCAGCUAGAGAGUUGGGCUAGUAACCAGCAGGUAGACCUGUCGGAGCUGUGGAGGAGACAGACCAGAGGACAUUGUUCCAGCUAGAGAGUUGGACUAGUAACCAGCAGGUAGACCUGUCGGAGCUGUGGAGGAGACAGACCAGAGGACAUUGUUCCAGCUAGAGAGUUGGGCUAGUAACCAGCAGGUAGACCUGUCGGAGCUGUGGAGGAGACAGACCAGAGGACAUUGUUCCAGCUAGAGAGUUGGGCUAGUAACCAGCAGGUAGACCUGUCGGAGCUGUGGAGGAGACAGACCAGAGGACAUUGUUCCAGCUAGAGAGUUGGGCUAGUAACCAGCAGGUAGACCUGUCGGAGCUGUGGAGGAGACAGACCAGAGGACAUUGUUCCAGCUAGAGAGUUGGGCUAGUAACCAGCAGGUAGUCUAGUGGUUAGAGCGUUGGACUAGUAACCAGCAGGUAGUCUAGUGGUUAGAGUGUUGGGCCAGUAACCAGCAGGUAGACCUGUAGGAGCUGUGGAGGAGACAGACAAGAGGACAUUGUUCCAGCUAGAGAGUUGGGCUAGUAACCAGCAGGUAGACUAGUGGUUAGAGCGUUGGACU